CCUACGGGUGGCAGCAGUAGGGAAUAUUGCUCAAUGGGGGAAACCCUGAAGCAGCCACGCCGCGUGGAGGAUGAAGGUUUUCGGAUUGUACACUCCUUUUGUUAGAGAAGAUAAUGACGGUAUCUAACGAAUAAGCACCGGCUAACUCCGUGCCAGCAGCCGCGGUAAUACGGAGGGUUCAAGCGUUCAUCGGAAUCACUGGUCGUAAAGAGCGCGUAGGCGGGAUAGCAAGUCAGAUGUGAAAUCCUAUGGCUUAACCAUAGAACUGCAUUUGAAACUGGUAUUCUAGAGUAUGGGAGAGGUAGGUGGAAUUCCUGGUGUAGGGGUAAAAUCCGUAGAGAUCAAGAGGAAUACUCAUUGCGAAGGCGACCCGCUAGAAAAAAACUGACGCUGAUGUGCGAAAGCGUGGGGAGCAAACAGGAUUAGAUACCCGUGUAGUC
rnacentral:rRNA from 1 species